rnacentral:rRNA from 1 species
UACGAAGGGGGCUAGCGUUGCUCGGAAUCACUGGGCGUAAAGCGCACGUAGGCGGGUCUUUAAGUCAGGGGUGAAAUCCUGGAGCUCAACUCCAGAACUGCCUUUGAUACUGAGGAUCUCGAGUCCGGGAGAGGUGAGUGGAACUGCGAGUGUAGAGGUGAAAUUCGUAGAUAUUCGCAAGAACACCAGUGGCGAAGGCGGCUCACUGGCCCGAUACUGACGCUGAGGUGCGAAAGCGUGGGGAGCAAACAGG